UUUUUUUUUCCCACUAUUAUAAAUAACAGCCAGCAGAGAGAUUUGGGGUGCAACAUCUUGUCUUCAAAGCAAGCUUACACUUUGUCAUUUCAUUUGGAUAUCAUCUCUUGCCAGAGAGGUAAUAUCCCCAUUUUAUAGCUGGGGAAAAUAAUCUAGGAAGGAGAGACUUUUCCACAUAUCUCACUAAUCUUGGUGGGAAGGUGGCUGGCUGGGCCAGUGAAAGGUGACCAAUGUAAGAUGAAAGGUGGCGUUUGACUUCAGUGUUAGGUUAAGAAUAGGGAGUGAUGGGGGCUGUGGAUGAAAGAGACAUUAAUUAAGUCUCUUAGGGCCAGACACCAACAACUUGAAGUGUUAAAGUGACGCCCAGGGUUGUGUGAGCUUCUGGUCUUGAACUAAAGUGGGAAAUGCACAUUAUACAUGAAAUAUCUCGGUAAAAAGUGUUGCAAGAUCAUGACCCCUGCUUCAGGCCUGAAUUUAACUGUUUUUGUUUUUGUUUUUGUUUUUGUUUUUUUUGUCCUGAUUUAUAAUUUAAUGGGGGUAUGGGGGCAGGGAUUGGUUUUGUUUUCUGAACUUCUUGCCUCUUAUUUAUUUAUUUGUUUGUUUUAUUAAUUGGCAGCUCUGGGGAUUGAACCCAGAGCCUCUUGCAUGCUAGUGAAGUGCUCUACUUACUACUGGGUCACACCCUCAUUGUUACCUUCUACCUGAGCAAGGCACGUACAUAGUGGCCUUGAAUGAGACAAAAUUCCUACUUUUGAUUCUAAAACAGGAGUCCAAAAUAUGAGUUUUAUGGCUGGUAUUUAAUGCAGCAGAUAAUUAAGAGCCCCCCCAAGGCCCCAACUGUUCUGCAGCCCUGUGAAGUUAAAUGGCCCAGAAAAGAUCAUUUUUGUGGCUUUCCACCAUACAAUUCCCAGUGGCCUUUUGUCCACUGGGCACUGGUGAGCAAGUCUUGACAAUUUUCACCUCUUCCCCUAUCCAUGCUGUUGGCUAGAACCCAGAGCCUCGUGCAUGUCAGGCAAGCAUUCUACCCUCUGAGCUACAUCUCCAGCCCUGCUCACUUCCCUAAUACAAUUCUGCCCCCAGGCCACAGUUUUGCUUAAUGUUCCCAGUGACUUUAUUGUGUGUCAGGCAGACAUCGCUAUAAAUUCUCAAAAUGUGUCCAGUUCCCCACUUUUCACUUUUCUCCGCCUCCAUUUUCCUCUAGGAAACAGUAUCCUGGUUAGGAGUGGGACUCCUAAAGCCACGUUACUUCGG
rnacentral:lncRNA from 1 species